rnacentral:rRNA from 1 species
AGAAUCAACGCUGGCGGCGUGCCUAACACAUGCAAGUCGCACGAGAAAGGGGGAGCAAUCCCUGAGUAAAGUGGCGCACGGGUGAGUAACACGUGAAUAAUCUACCUCCGAGUGGGGAAUAACUGAGAGAAAUCUUAGCUAAUACCGCAUAACACUUACGAGUCAAAGCAGCAAUGCGCUUGGAGAGGAGUUCGCGGCCGAUUAGUUAGUUGGCGGGGUAAUGGCCCACCAAGACGAUGAUCGGUAUCCGGCCUGAGAGGGCGCACGGACACACUGGAACUGAAACACGGUCCAGACUCCUACGGGAGGCAGCAGUGGGGAAUUUUGCGCAAUUGGGGAAACCCUGACGCAGCAACGCCGCGUGGAGGAUGAAGCCCCUUGGGGUGUAAACUCCUUUCGAUCGGGAAGAUAAUGACGGUACCGAUAUAAGAAGCCCGGCUAACUUCGCGCCAGCAGCCGC